AGUGAACGCUGGCGGUAGGCCUAACACAUGCAAGUCGAACGGCAGCACAGGAGAGCUUGCUCUCUGGGUGGCGAGUGGCGGACGGGUGAGGAAUACAUCGGAAUCUACUCUGUCGUGGGGGAUAACGUAGGGAAACUUACGCUAAUACCGCCUACGACCUACGGGUGAAAGCAGGGGACCUUCGGGCCUUGCGCGAUUGAAUGAGCCGGUGUCGGAUUAGCUAGUUGGCGGGGUAAAGGCCCACCAAGGCGACGAACCGUAGCUGGGCUGAGAGGAUGAUCAGCCACACUGGAACUGAGACACGGUCCAGACUCCUACGGGAGGCAGCAGUGGGGAAUAUUGGACAAUGGGCGCAAGCCUGAUCCAGCCAUACCGCGUGGGUGAAGAAGGCCUUCGGGUUGUAAAGCCCUUUUGUUGGGAAAGAAAUCCAGCUGGCUAAUACCCGGUUGGGAUGACGGUACCCAAAGAAUAAGCACCGGCUAACUUCGUGCCAGCAGCCGCCGUAA
rnacentral:rRNA from 1 species